rnacentral:misc_RNA from 1 species
GAUGAAGAACGUAGCGAAAUGCGAUAAGUAAUGUGAAUUGCAGAAUUCAGUGAAUCAUCGAAUCUUUGAACGCACAUUGCGCCCUCUGGUAUUCCGGGGGGCAUGCCUGUUCGAGCGUCAUUAUAACCACUCAAGCUCUCGCUUGGUAUUGGGGUUCGCGGUUUCGCGGCCCCUAAAAUCAGUGGCGGUGCCUGUCGGCUCUACGCGUAGUAAUACUUCUCGCGAUUGAGUUCGAUAGGUCUACUUGCCAGUAACCCCCAAUUUUUACAGGUUGACCUCGGAUCAGGUAGGGAUACCCGCUGAACUUAAGCAUAUCAAUAAGCGGAUGA